rnacentral:rRNA from 1 species
AGUGAACGCUGGCGGUAGGCCUAACACAUGCAAGUCGAACGGCAGCACAGUAAGAGCUUGCUCUUACGGGUGGCGAGUGGCGGACGGGUGAGGAAUACAUCGGAAUCUACUUUUUCGUGGGGGAUAACGUAGGGAAACUUACGCUAAUACCGCAUACGACCUACGGGUGAAAGCAGGGGAUCUUCGGACCUUGCGCGAUUGAAUGAGCCGAUGUCGGAUUAGCUAGUUGGCGGGGUAAAGGCCCACCAAGGCGACGAUCCGUAGCUGGUCUGAGAGGAUGAUCAGGCACCCUUGGAACUGGACACCGGCCCAGACCCCAACGGGGGGAGGCGGGGGGAAUAUUUGGCCAAUGGGGGCAGGCCUGUCCCAGCCAACCGGGUUGGUUAAAGAAGCCCUUCGGGUUGUAAAGCCUUUUUUUUGGGAAAGAAAGGCGGCGGGUUAAAACCCCGCUGUUCUGCCGUUACCCAAGGAAUAGGCACCGGCAACCUUCGU